rnacentral:tRNA from 1 species
GGGUCAGUAGCUCAGUUGGUAGAGCAGUUGCCUCUUAAGCAAUUGGUCGCGGGUUCGAGUCCCGCCUGACCCA